rnacentral:lncRNA from 1 species
CGGAAGAGAUUAAAUCGAAAAAGGGUUCCCUCUACAGACUCGAUCCAUUCCAGCAAAAUUAGAUACCGGAUGUAGUAAAUACUCGGUAGUCCUGCAACUCUUUUUAGGUCGAACAACAUAACCUCGAAUUCUCAUUGCUAAGCAGUCAAUGAUGCCCAUGGAAAUUCUCUAGCUGCAGGCCAUCUCAUUUGCACAAGCUCACCUCAACAAUCUGUUGUUUCUCUCAAAAGGCAAUUAUUUUGGAAGAUAGACAUUAUCAGAAAACACAUUCUAUAUAUAGUUGUACAUUUUUAUUGAACUAAAGAAGGCAUAAUGUUGUGGAAACAAAGCAAAUAUCAGCUCGUGAAAUUUCUUGAGAUUCCAUUCCCGGCAUAACUUGUAAGAUUCUAAUUCCGGCUUAAAACAUUUUUGUCAUCUUUAUUAGAUCAGCAAAGGUUUUUUUUUUUUUUUUUUUUUUUUUUUUUNNNNNNNNNNNNNNNNNNNNNNNNNAAGAGAGAAUUUAUUAGUGAAAGCUGUUUUGGGAUUGCCAGAAAUCAUGAAUCCUUCUCUUUCACGAAAAAAGCAAUUUGGAGAGGGGGGCGCAUCGGUCUCUUUUUUCCAAUAUAUUUUUUCUCUGGCCUUAUCUAGUAAUAAAUUAAUUAAUUAAUACUAUUCACGACGUGAUUAUUAUAGUGCAAGUUGUUAAGAGCGUUAACUCAUAUUCAUACAGAUCCGGAGCGUGGACGAGUUGGCUAAUUUUGGCUAGUCCGUGGGGCAUAGAUCCGACCUGGGAUCAAUGGGACGAGGUUCCUGAGGCAGUUUCUGGGUGCUGGCACUGCGUGGGGGGCCUUGCUUUGUGUCUUCCUCAUGAUGCAGGGCUCUGAGAAAGGUAAGUCCUUCGAGCCUGCACAGAAUUCGACUAAGUCUUAACGAAAACAGUUUCCCCGUGAUUAGAAGAACUUCGAGAGGGCUAUUCGAAUAUCUUUAGAUAGUAGAUGGAUUAGAUAUAUCACUUUAUUUAGAAAUAGGACGUGGAUUGCGCUUUUCUUUUCUUUUCUUUUCUUGCUUCAUUUUCCCCCAUAUCGUCUAGUGAUUGGUUAGCAUCAAACAUAUAUCAUGAUAUUACCGAAGCAAACAGAUUGUUCUUUGUGCAAAUUUGUAAACCUUUCCUUUUUGAGGCAUCAUUAAUAACUUUGAUAAAGACCUAUUUAGAUGGCCAUAGUUUUCUGCAAAAGUACUGAUAAGUAGUUUUGUAUCAGAAAACACUAACAAGUUUUGCACCACGACUUUUCCAAAAGCAUUCUUCUCAUGACAAAUAUUUUCUAAUUAACAAAUGUCCGCUACAGCAAAAGCAAAAAUUUAUGGGGCAUAAAUUCAAGUUAGCUUCUUAUCUCAACAAAAAGCUUAGGCUAUAUUGCUUCUCAAAGUAGCGAAGUCAUCCCGGAACUUGACCGAAUAAGAAGAAGUUACAAUGCAGAAUGCACGCAGAAAUUUUUUUAUUUUUUUUAAAAGAAAGUGACAAAUUGAGAUGUCCAUGCAGGUGGAAAGAAACCUCUGCUCGGUGAUGCACUUGUUAUUGCAGGACGUUAUGUUAUGCAUUCAGCAAUGUUGGAGAGGUAAAUAGAAGAACCCCUGAAAUAUGCUACAAUUUGUUCGAUUUCCAUGUGGAACUAUAUUUAGCAUUUGAAUGUAUUAUCCAUUUCAACGUUAAAACCCUUCUUUUACUGAUUAUGCAGGAAUUCUGCGUAAAAAGAAAAGAUCGAGUUGAAGUCAUCGCAAUGCUUGGGGUUUUUGGGCUGUUGGUCUGCGCAACUGAGAUGUAUCCCUCGUAAUUUCAAAUGAUUUCUAUGCUUGCUUAUACGCUUGUUCUUAGUACUGAUAUAUAAGUUUAAUUUAAUUUUUUCUUUCUUUUCUUCUUCUUUUCGUAGAUUUCUGUUUCGUGCUAUAAAUAUCGUGGGAAGUAGUAUAUUUGUUUAUGAAUUCGAUAGUUGAGUAAUACUCCAUUAACUCUCUUAGAGCUAUUUUUGAAGAAAAAAUCUCCCAAGAGGUGAAGUGGUCGCCCACGAUGGUACGUGUUUCUCUGAUAUCUCUCCUUAAUUUGCCAUCUCUUCUUCUCUCUUCUUUCUUUUAUUCUUUAUUUUUUCCUUUCGAAAGGCUAUAUAUAAUAUAUAUGGGUGCGUUUGCUCGCGCUAUUUUCUUAAAGAAUUCCUAGUAAUCCAAUGGAAAUAAAAAAAUAUGACGGUGUUUAGCUAACGCACUAAUUAAUCAGUUGUAAUAUUAAGAUUCACUUGGAAAUAGAUUCACCCCAAAAGCACUAAUCUCAUUUCUCCUUGAGGGAGGGUGGGUAUCCUCAUAUUAAUGAUGUUGGGUAAUCACAAUAUGUCUAAUCUCUUUCUUUCUUCCUACCGGCGGCUAAUUGAUAUUAUUUUUCUUUACACUCUAACCUUAUAUCUCUCGCUAAACUAUUUUCUCUCUAAAAUUCAACUUUUUUUUCUCUCUCUAAACUAAGCUUUCUCUCUCUCUCUUUCUAAAAUUCAACUUCUCACCCCUUUAAUUUCGACUAUAUUUUCUUUCUAUUUUUUUUAAUUUAUGCUCUCUCUCUAACUUAUACUCUCUUUCCUUUUUUCUAAAAAGAUGUUGAAAUUUUUGUAACAUUAUUUAAAAUUAAAUUAAUUAAUAUUAAUUAUAUUGUAUAUUUUUUGUAAUAUUAAAUAAUAUGGCUAAUUAAUAUUACCGUGCGAACCAAACACAAGAAUUCCGCAUUCUUAGUAAUAGGAUGAAUAGGAAUAAGAUUCUCGGAUAUCUUUUAUUCUUAAUAUACUUUCAUAAUGCGAAACCAAACGGACCCAUAAGGAUUAGUCCUUGUGUUUAAGUUAUAGUAAUAUAAUGAGAGUUAGAGAAGUAGAUGUAAAAUACAAAGCAGGGAAGGAUUAAAUCGAAAAACGAUUCCUUGAUCUACAGACUCCAUUCCAGCAAAAUUAGACACCGGAUGUAGUAAAUACUCGGUAGUCCUGCAACUUUUUAGGUCGAACAACAUAACCUCAAUUCUCAUUGCUAAGCAGUCAAUGAUGCCAUGGAAAUUUCUCUAGCUGCACGCCAUCUCAUUUGCACAAGCUCACCUCAACAAUCUGUUAUUUCUCUCAAAAGGCAAUUAUUUUGGAAGAUAGACAUUAUCAGAAAACACA